rnacentral:rRNA from 1 species
GGCGGCGUGCUUAACACAUGCAAGUCGAACGGUGAACACGGAGCUUGCUCUGUGGGAUCAGUGGCGAACGGGUGAGUAACACGUGAGCAACCUGCCCCUGACUCUGGGAUAAGCGCUGGAAACGGCGUCUAAUACUGGAUAUGUGACGUGACCGCAUGGUCUGCGUUUGGAAAGAUUUUUCGGUUGGGGAGGGGCUCGCGGCCUAUCAGCUUGUUGGUGAGGUAAUGGCUCACCAAGGCGUCGACGGGUAGCCGGCCUGAGAGGGUGACCGGCCACACUGGGACUGAGACACGGCCCAGACUCCUACGGGAGGCAGCAGUGGGGAAUAUUGCACAAUGGGCGAAAGCCUGAUGCAGCAACGCCGCGUGAGGGAUGACGGCCUUCGGGUUGUAAACCUCUUUUAGCAGGGAAGAAGCGAAAGUGACGGUACCUGCAGAAAAAGCGCCGGCUAACUACGUGCCAGCAGCCGCGGUAAUACGUAGGGCGCAAGCGUUAUCCGGAAUUAUUGGGCGUAAAGAGCUCGUAGGCGGUUUGUCGCGUCUGCUGUGAAAUCCCGAGGCUCAACCUCGGGCCUGCAGUGGGUACGGGCAGACUAGAGUGCGGUAGGGGAGAUUGGAAUUCCUGGUGUAGCGGUGGAAUGCGCAGAUAUCAGGAGGAACACCGAUGGCGAAGGCAGAUCUCUGGGCCGUAACUGACGCUGAGGAGCGAAAGGGUGGGGAGCAAACAGGCUUAGAUACCCUGGUAGUCCACCCCGUAAACGUUGGGAACUAGUUGUGGGGUCCAUUCCACGGAUUCCGUGACGCAGCUAACGCAUUAAGUUCCCCGCCUGGGGAGUACGGCCGCAAGGCUAAAACUCAAAGGAAUUGACGGGGACCCGCACAAGCGGCGGAGCAUGCGGAUUAAUUCGAUGC